UAUUAGAUAGUGGAGUAACUCUUUUUCAGGGUAUUAUGCUAUUCCUGGAGUUGUUCGAGUAAAGGGAACAUUUGAUUAAUCCUAGCUAAAAUUUAAGAUUUUUUAACCUCAUUUGACAAUCUAAUGCUAGUGGAUGAGCCUUUUUUCUUGAAUAAUGAUAAUAUAUUUGGACACUGUUACAUAUUAUAGGUGUUACAUAUUCCUG
rnacentral:lncRNA from 1 species